rnacentral:rRNA from 1 species
CGGGUGAGUAACGCGUAAAUAAUCUACCCCUGCAUUUGGGAUAACCCACCGAAAGGUGAGCUAUACCGGAUACGUUCUUUUGGUCGCGAGUCCGGGAGAAGAAAGGUGGCCUCUGAUAUAAGCUACUGUGCAGGGAGGAGUUUGCGUACCAUUAGCUUGUUGGUAGGGUAAUGGCCUACCAAGGCGACGAUGGUUAGCGGGUCUGAGAGGAUGAUCCGCCACACUGGAACUGGAACACGGACCAG